UCGCCAAUAGGAUAAAUUAUUGGUAGUGCCUGCUCAGUGCCCUGUGGGUAAACAGCCGCUGUAUUUUGACGGUGCUAAGGUAGCGAAAUUCCUAGCCUUUUAAUUGGAGGCCUGCAUGAAUGGCUUGACGAGCGCCCUACUGUCUCUCUUUUGUGGAAUUGAAAUUAGCUUUUGUGUGAAAAGACAGAAAUGGUUGAGUUAGACGAGAAGACCCUGUGCAACUUUACUGAAGUGAAAAGACGACGGUUUAGCUGGGGCAGCUAAGGAAAAGAAAAAAUUUCCUUAAAAGAAAAAUACUGAUGGGUUUUGAUCCAACAAGAAGGUUGAUCAAUAGAAAAGUUACGCCAGGGAUAACAGCGUUAUCCCUCUGUGGAGGUCGGAUCUGCGGAGGGGAUUGCGACCUCGAUGUUGAAUUAGGGAUAUAGCGAGAAGGCGAAGAAGCUUUCUUUGUGGUUCUGUUCGACCUUU
rnacentral:rRNA from 1 species